AAUUGGAGAAUUAACCCACAGUCCUUUACCUCACUUUGGUGCGAGACGAGAGCUAGGGUUCCGCCGCCAGCAAUCCCUUUCUCUUCCUCCCGGGAGGCCGCCGCCGGACUCCAUCGUACCACCACGUGCGCCGGCGCCACCACCUUCCUCGCGCGGCAGUACGUGCGGGAGGCCGUCCGAGUUGCGUCAGUGCCUCGGGGAAGGGUCACAGCCGCCAGACCGAGGAGAAGUGGCUCCACGGGAACGACGCCGUAGGCAGCCCCUACGCAUCCUCAGUCUACGCCCGCACCGGCGAAUCCGCCGCUGCGGCACAGACCAUACCGAGGAGGAGGUCUUCAACGCAGGGCCACGGGUACCCAUCCCCAUCCCUCCUCCUCCUCCUCCUCCUCCUCCACAUCGUCGUAAGCAUCCCAGGCACCCAAAAAUAUGUAUCUUCCCCGAGCUGAAGCCGGUGGCCACCGCUCAGGCUUGCUGCUGCUGCCGGCUAGAAACGGCCACCAAGCUCUGGGGCCAUUUUCACGUUGCCGCCGGCGACCUCGUCUGCAUCCACCGGCCCGCUUGCUGUGGAGGGAUUCAGACAAUUGCAAGCUCGCAGUGGUGAAUCAAUACACACGACCAAGCCAUGGUGAUCAGAUGUAUCACGAGUUGCUGACAAUUUUUGCUCCGUGGAGUGAGCUUUUCUCCGUGCCAAUCAUGCAUCAAAGUUAUAGCACAACUCGCUGACACAUCCCUGGAUUGUAAAAGUAGUUUGCUACUCUUCUGGUGAUGGUUGAGAGAGAAGAAGAAGCACGCGCGAGCAUGGGCGACACUUAUGACGGGUUUUUGUCACCGGGGGAGCUACGGUAACGAGUUGGAGCUGCCGGCGAGACCGCAAUAGUCAAGCAAAUGAGAUGGUGAGACCGCGAGAAUCAAGACGGCGAGCCGGGGAGCAGGUCUUCCCCUCCCUGCUGCCUCUGGCCGCGGUGGAGAGGCAUGACACAGGUUCCUCUGGCGAUGGUUCCCUGCUAACCAGGCAUGUGAAUGAGGUAUUAGAAAAACAUGGAACUGAGCUGAUUUAUUUUAUGUAGGUACAUAACUUUAGGCCUACUUGAACCUCAACUUUUCUAUUGGAGGAAGUACAUCACUUCAUUCAGAAAAAUCUUCGAUUGCAGAGAAGAAUAUUUUGGAACACAUGUCAAAGAAGAAUAUAUACUCAUAUUGUCACAGGUAUACAUUGAAUUACUUCUCUAUGCUUGACUAAGAUGAUUGAGGUUUACUCAUAUUGUCAAAUUGAUUAUUGAGAACAUGUACCUUCUUUAGAGACUAAUAAGUACCAGAAGCAACUACACUGCAAUGUUGCACCAUGAUUACUGACACAUGACUAAUUUUUUUUGGUCUGAAGAUAAACUUUUCUCCUUUUCCUUUUGUGUUCAGUAAUUUUCUCCUUUUCCUUUUGUGUUUAGUAAUUUUCUCCUUAGUGUUUCCAUUUUUUGUUUCUCUUUUAACUUUUUCUAGCUUACACGUAGGUCCUGAAAGAUGUUUGUUACACUUAAAUGUCAUGUACUGCAUUGUUUCGUGAAUCUAAAUCUGUCACGAUUUAGAUCAUGGCUUAAUUUGUUUGACACUUGAAUAUUGUACCUUUUCUACUCAUGAUGCUUCAUUUUUCAGUUUGUUUCAUAAUUUUUCAUAUGGCAACUGCGGAGGUGGAGUUGGCCUACGAUAUAUAUAAGAAAAAAAAAUCGUUUUUUAGAUCCUCGGCUCAAGGGCAUUCAUGUUUCUUCGAGGUUUUUUCGUAAAUAAGAGAUUAUGUUCUUGGCAGUCUCACUCUGAUGCUCUUAAACACUACUACAGCUUAUAGAGAUUCAUUGUUUCUCAGUGACAAGACUUUGCAAUUUUUCGGGCAAUCUGAUGUAUCUUAGUUUUCCCAGUAUAAAGAUACACACUAAUUAAGUGGUAAAGCAAAAUAAUAACAUAUGAUAUGCCAUUUUUGUAUUAUUGAACUUGAUAUCCUGUACGGAUUACACAAACACCAAACACAGUUGGAUAAUUAAUUUUGUGUUUUGACAAUAAUUUGUCAUGGUGCGCACAUGUUGUCAUAAUGUCUACAUGAUAUCAUAGCAACAGCUACACAAUUCAUCAUGAUAUUUUAACAUUUUAUUUCUAACAGUUUUACGUGGAGAUGCUCAUACCCUCAUUCUACCGUACAUAUAAGAACAGGUUGUGUGUUAGGUUCUAAUGUCGUGUGAGGUCCUAUAGCAGUUAUGUUGUCUGUUGCUUGACCUACUCGCUAUUUUAGUGUUCCUUACCUCAGGUGCUCAUCAUGCUGGGUAUACUCCUAAUCUGGUUUGCUAUUUGGUCAUGCCUUGGAUUGUCUGAUCGGUCCUAUUAGUCUGAACCUCCAUAGACAAAACAUCACUACGUUUUUUUGGAUGGUGCACUAUAAUGGUUCUCAUCAUGACCUUUUUUAAAUCUUGAUAUGGUAUUUUGUUGCUUAUAUAUAUCGUAGGGUAGAGCAAAGUCUUUGUUUGCACCCUUCUAUUAUAUCGAAAGGUUGAAUUUUCUUUUUGGCAGUUCAAUGAUCUUAUCUAAGCUCCUUAAUGGGGAUACAUUUUUUCUAACUUCAUAUUUCUAUUUCCUUUUUCGUGCCAAGUCGUACCAAUUAUGAUAUCUCUUUGUUGAACUUUGAAUUGGAUCAAGAUGACACUAUGUGGAUAUAUACUGUGCAAACACAUAUUUAUUGUAUGAUGUACCAUUAUACUGACUGAUGUUCCAUCUACUUUCAGUUUCAUGAGAUGAUGUUCAAAGAAAAAACACUUGUGGAGCAGCUGCAACACUUAGAACCAUGCUAUUAUAGUGCUUCACUUUCGUCUUCUCUUUAUAUGAUUGUAUCAAUUUUUGUGUUGGACAUUGUCUACUGACCGUAUGGGAGCAUGGCCGAUUGCGCUGGUUUACGAACGGCAUGGAUGGGAAGAUGCUUUUAGUCAAUACAGAACUUAUGUUACCCCAGGCCAAGCUCAAGUAUGGGGAUAGAGUUGAAGUGAGGUUUUCUCCACAUAUUACCCGAGAUAAUUUACGAGUUGGCUACUACUCCUGAGUUUGUACAUAAUGAGACCGUGUGAUAGUAACUUGUGCUGUAAAUAUGAGUUUUGAUGCAAUAAAUUCAAGUUUGAAUCAA